AUUGAACGCUGGCGGCAGGCCUAACACAUGCAAGUCGAGCGGAUGACGGGAGCUUGCUCCUUGAUUCAGCGGCGGACGGGUGAGUAAUGCCUAGGAAUCUGCCUGGUAGUGGGGGACAACGUUUCGAAAGGAACGCUAAUACCGCAUACGUCCUACGGGAGAAAGCAGGGGACCUUCGGGCCUUGCGCUAUCAGAUGAGCCUAGGUCGGAUUAGCUAGUAGGUGAGGUAAUGGCUCACCUAGGCGACGAUCCGUAACUGGUCUGAGAGGAUGAUCAGUCACAAUGGAACUGAGAGACGGUCCAGACUCCUACGGGAGGCAGCAGUGGGGAAUAUUGGACAAUGGGCGAAAGCCUGAUCCAGCCAUGCCGCGUGUGUGAAGAAGGUCUUCGGAUUGUAAAGCACUUUAAGUUGGGAGGAAGGGUUGUACGUUAAUACCGUGCAAUUUUGACGUUACCGACAGAAUAAGCACCGGCUAACUCUGUGCCAGCCGCCGCCGUAA
rnacentral:rRNA from 1 species